GAUGAACGCUGGCGGCGUGCCUAAUACAUGCAAGUCGAGCGAACGGACGAGAAGCUUGCUUCUCUGAUGUUAGCGGCGGACGGGUGAGUAACACGUGGAUAACCUACCUAUAAGACUGGGAUAACUUCGGGAAACCGUAGCUAAUACCGGAUAAUAUUUUGAACCGCAUGGUUCAAAAGUGAAAGACGGUCGUGCUGUCACUUAUAGAUGGAUCCCCGGUGCAUUAGCUAUGUGGUAAGGUAACGGCUUACCAAGGCAACGAUGCGUAGCCGACCUGAUAGGGUGAUCCGCCACCCUGGAACUUAGACACGGGCCAGACUCCUACGGGAGGCAACAGUAGGGAAUCUUCCGCAAUGGGCGAAAGCCUGACGGAGCAACGCCGCGUGAGUGAUGAAGGUCUUCGGAUCGGAAAACUCUGUUAUUAGGGGAGAACAUAUGUGUAAGUAACUGUGCACAUCUUGACGGUACCUAAUCAGAAAGCCACGGCUAACUACGUG
rnacentral:rRNA from 1 species